AGCCCGGUAGCUCAGUUCGGUUAGAGCAUUGUACUUAUAGGGUAAACAUGCCUGCAUAAUGUAAUGCAAGGGUCGCGAGUUCGAUUCUCGCUCGGGCUA